GUGAAUCAUCAAAUUUUUGAACGCAAAUUGCGCCUUUUUCGGAAGGCAUGGCUGUUUGAGGGCAUAAUUUAACAAAUAAUGUGCAUUUUGUUUGCACACGUUGAUGAGCUUUCCAAAGUUAGGUAUUAUUUUUGGUGGAGAAUAAUAAACAGCGAGAGUAUUUUUUUCAGUUUGAGUGUAGUAAAAUUUUUUGUUGCUUGGGUUGUGAAAAGCGUGAUCGCGAAAUGGGUGUGGCAAUUUUAGUUAAUCUUUGUACAAAGCCCACUCUUUCUCGCGAAAGAGUG
rnacentral:misc_RNA from 1 species